UGCUUGCUACACAAGAGUGAGAACCUGGGUGUGGAUUCUUAGCACCUGUAUAAAAAUCUGAACGUGGUGGUGCCCACGUGUAAUCCCAGUGCGGAGGAAGCAGAGGCAAGAGAAUUCCUGGGGUUAGCUGGUUAGCUAGUCUGGUUGAAUAAGGAGCUCCAGGUUAAGUGAGAGAUCUUACCUCAGAUAAUAAUAUGGAGAGUGACUGAGAAAAGAAAGCAGAUGUCAAUCUUUGGUUUCCACACAUGCACAUGUAAAUACUUGCAGUACACACACACACACACACACACACACACACACACACACUAAAUAAAAAUAUGAGCAAAUGGUACAUUACAAUUUGGAAGAACUUAUCAUAUGUUGAAUGGAGACUUAUGCAAUAACGAAUUACCUUUAUGUAUCUACUCUAGCCGUACCUGCUUCAACAGUGUGAGGCUGUCAUGAUGGCUGCCCUCUUGCUUAUGUCUCCAAGAGUGCUGCUAAAUGCUCUGAGAUCUGUGUACUGUGCCUGGGAUGUCUCUGAAUGAGUGCCCCCUUGUCUCUAUUUCUCCUGAUGUAGAAAUUUGAUCAUAAUAUUGUCUGGCACUUGGACAGAUUUGCCAAAUCUCAAAAAGAAUUUUUCUUGUUUUCCUCAAUAUGACAUUUCCCAUACCAACUUGGUUGAAAAGAGGAAUUCUUGAUUUUUAAAUUAAAAUUUAAAAAGCCAAUAGAACUUUUCUCUUAACCUCAAAAAUGGUGUGGUUAAAAUUUGAGAAGGGUUAGUCCUUAUUUUUCUGAAUCAUUUUUCCCAUUCAUGUAUUUCAAGUAUCCCUUUGUGCAGACAAGAAUGUGCUCUGGGAAGCAGGGCUUUCUAGUGCUUGGAGAGUGUCCUUGGAAAGCCUAAUUUGCUUAGCAGGAAGGUAAUGAGGCUGAGUUUAUGCAGUUGCAAGCAUUGCUUUGGUGGCUUUGGGAGUGAUUCCUUUUGCUCUUAAGGUGUACCCAGAAGCCCUUUGAUAACCAUCUUCAUGCUGGAAGAAAUGGUGUUUACAUGUUGCAACUAUCUAUGUUCUGCUUUCAGAAGUAUUUAGCUAAAUAAGGUUUUUGAUUUUUAAGAUAUAAUGGGCUGCUCUUUAUGUUGAAGGAUUGUCCUAUUGAUCACUGGGCUGCUUGCCAUCAUUCCCUUUUAUAGAAUUAAAGAGAUACAUUGUGAAUUAGGAUUUAUGUAAACAAUCCAUAUUAGUUGUUUUUCUAUUGCUGUGACAAAACACCAUGACUAAAAUACUGUAUAAAAGAAAGCUUUUAAUUAGACUUACAGUUUCAGAGAGUUAGAGUCCGUGAUGGCAGAGCAAAGGCAUGGUGGCGGGAAUAGCUGAGAGCUCAUAUCUUGAGGAGGCAGAGAGAGGAAUAUUAGAUUAUUUUGGGUGUGAGAAAGGGUCUCACUAUGUAGCUCUGGCUGUCCUGGAACUCACUAUGUAAUAUAGACCAGGCUGGCCUAGAACUCACAGAGAUCUGCCUGCUUAUGCCUCCCAAGUGCUGGGAUUAAAGGAAUGUUUCACUAUACCUGGCUGAGAGGAACACUGGAAAUGAGUCAUUUGAAACCUCAAAGCUUGCCUGCAGUAACAACAAGGCCACACCUCCUAAUCCUCCCCAAACAGUUCAAACAACAGGGGACCAAGUAUUCAAACAGGAGCCUAUGAGGGCCAUUCUUAUUGAAACUACCACACAAUCUUCCCCCAACUCCCCUUGGAACUACAUAUUAGUAACCAUUUUCACAAUUCUACCAUCAAAAUGAUGCUGAGGCAUUGAUGAGGCAAGAUGGUUAUUUAAAAGUUUUGUACUUGGCUCUAGGCUUCAGUGUAAUUUUAGUCGUAGACCACACACAAUAUCAGUCAGGUUGGGCAAGGCUAUGCUGCUGAAACAAUUGCCACCCAAACAACAGAGAUUUGUUUCUUAGGGCAAAGAUUUCUGUGGGUGGCUGUUUUCCAGGCUCAGAAUUCUCAGCUGCUUUAUGUUAUGAUGCUGCUAUAAUAAGAUCUGCACACACAAUUGCUGGAUAGACAGAGAGAGCCCAAGAGCCCAUCACUAGAUGAUAAAUACUUCCAUUUGGAAGUGGUGCACAUCAAUUUCAUUCACAUCUGUUGGACAAAUCCAUAAGAAGGCCCUCUAAUUUGAGGGGUACAAUAUGAAUCCUAACUUGUGGCUAUAGGUAGAAAGAAACUAUGUAGAGGAGGCAGCACUAAGGCCACCACCUAUAUGUAAACACUUCACAACAGUUGUGAAUUGUUGGGGCUGGAGAGAUGGCUCAUCAUCUCCCAAAAGAACCAUUGGCUGAGAACCAAAACUUUAAUCCAUGGGCCUCCGUGGACACUUAUCCAAACCAUAGUAAGUCCCCGGUGAGAGUUAAAAAUAAAGCACUUAGACAAAGUACACAGUAAGUACUUUACGUAUGUGCUGUUGUUUUCAUUUCACCAGGCAGGCCAUGGUGUCUUGUGGCAGCCAGCUCCACCCACAGAAGCUGCCUCUGGGAGCUUUGCACACGGAUGCAAUGAGGCAUUGGGAGACUGACCCAGCUCACUAGCGGAACUGGACUGUUACUCAACUGUUAAGGACUGGGUCAGGACCAAAGGCCGUGCUAACAUCAUGGCCCAUCCAGAUUCUAAGCCUGGUGAUGGCAGGGGUUCACCACAACCCCAAGACGAUGGUAUGUUUUUGCAUACAGCAAGAGUCUAAUCAGUGUCGUCUGUUACGGUUCUGCAUUGAAAGCUAAACAAGAAAUCACACUCUCAAGGCAGACGCAGAGCAGAAGAUUUUUCCUGGAAUGGGGCCAUUGUCUUUUCCAAUUGCAGCCCACGUGGAAAGGAUGACGUGACCUGUACUGAGAAGAUCCUCUGACUUCACUAGAUAGCACUGGAAUGCAGGCAGAGAGCCAGAAGAAUGAAAGUGUCCAUGGUCACACAAAAGGUUAGUGGACGAACUGACCCAUAGCUGGAUUCACUCAGCCAUGGGACUCAAGUGUACACUAGUGUGUGGUCAUAUCACACAAUAGAUGUCCACUCUCAUGGCCUGUAUCUAUCAGGCUGACUUUCCUUUGUGCUGUGCCUCUGAAGGCAUUGGGUGGAAUGCUGGGCAUCAUAAUGCCCAUCAGGAUGACAAACAGAAUUGAGAAGGGAAACAGUGAACAAAAGUACUGAAAGACUGCAGAGUCGGGCACACCUAGGUGCGCUGACCUGUAAUCAGUCUUUCUCGUUGGACUUUCUUUGGACUGCCAGCCCCCAAAUAAUGACAUGGAAACUUAUUAUUAAUUCUGAAAGCUUGGCCUUUAGCUUAGGCUUGUUCCUAGCUAGCUCUUAUAACUUAAAUUAACCUGUUUCUAUUAAUCUACAUUCUGUCACGUGGCUCUUUACCUCUCCUCCAUUCUGCAUGUCUGACUCCCUCUGUGUCUCACUGGAGUCUCUUGCCACACCAGAUUCUAACCUUGAGUUCCUCUCUCUGCCCAGAAGUCCCUCCUAGUCUUUCCUUCCUAGCUAUUGGCCAUUCAGCUCUUUAUUAAACCAACCAGGUUCCUUAGGCAGGUGAGACAAAAUAUAGACACAUCUUUAUGCAGUAGAAAAUAAAUAUCCUGCAACAUGUCCCCCUUUUUGUCUGAAUAUAAAGGAAAGAUUUUAACUCUAACUCAGUAAAACUAUAUACAAUAAG